AGUGGCGGACGGGUGAGUAACACGUGAGAAUUUACCUUUAGGAGGGGGACAACAAUUGGAAACGAUUGCUAAUACCCCAUAUGCUCUAGAGUGAAACGGAUUUUUCCGCCUAAAGAAAAGCUCGCGGCUGAUUAGCUUGUUGGUAAGGUAAUGGCUUACCAAGGCGACGAUCAGUAUCUGGUUUGAGAGGACGAUCAGACACACUGGAACUGAGACACGGUCCAGACUCCUACGGGAGGCAGCAGUGGGGAAUUUUCCGCAAUGGGCGAAAGCCUGACGGAGCAAUACCGCGUGAGGGAAGACGGCCUAUGGGUUGUAAACCUCUUUUUUCAGGGAGGAACAAAAUGACGUGUACCUGAAGAAUAAGCAUCGGCUAACUCCGUGCCAGCAGCCGCGGUAAGACGGAGGAUGCAAGUGUUAUCCGGAAUCACUGGGCGUAAAGCGUCUGUAGGUGGUUUGUUAAGUCAACUGUUAAAUCUUGAGGCUCAACUUCAAAUCAGCAGUCGAAACUAUCAGACUAGAGUAUAGUAGGGGUAAAGGGAAUUUCCAGUGGAGCGGUGAAAUGCGUAGAUAUUGGAAAGAACACCGAUGGCGAAGGCACUUUACUGGGCUAUUACUAACACUCAGAGACGAAAGCUAGGGUAGCAAAUGGGAUUAGAUACCCCAGUAGUCCUAGCUGUAAACGAUGGAUACUAGAUGUUGAACAGAUCGACCUGUGCAGUAUUAAAGCUAACGCGUUAA
rnacentral:rRNA from 1 species